rnacentral:tRNA from 1 species
UAUAUAUUGGUGUAUGAAGCACAAAAAUUUUUGAUAUUUUUAGGAAUAGUUUAAAUCUAUUAUAUAUAU